rnacentral:rRNA from 1 species
CGCCAGACUCCUACGGGAGGCAGCAGUGGGGAAUAUUGCACAAUGGGGGAAACCCUGAUGCAGCGACGCCGCGUGAGCGAUGAAGUAUUUCGGUAUGUAAAGCUCUAUCAGCAGGGAAGAAAAUGACGGUACCUGACUAAGAAGCCCCGGCUAACUACGUGCCAGCAGCCGCGGUAAUACGUAGGGGGCAAGCGUUAUCCGGAUUUACUGGGUGUAAAGGGAGCGUAGACGGCUGUGCAAGCCAGAUGUGAAAGCCCGGGGCUCAACCCCGGGACUGCAUUUGGAACUGUGUGGCUGGAGUGUCGGAGAGGCAGGCGGAAUUCCUAGUGUAGCGGUGAAAUGCGUAGAUAUUAGGAGGAACACCAGUGGCGAAGGCGGCCUGCUGGACGAUGACUGACGUUGAGGCUCGAAAGCGUGGGGAGCAAACAGGAUUAGAUACCCCCGUAAC